GCGCUCUUGGCGCAGAGGUUAGCGCGCAUGCAUGACACGCAUGAGGCCACAGGUUCAAUUCCUGUAGGGCGCA
rnacentral:tRNA from 1 species